GAUGAACGCUGGCGGUAUGCUUAACACAUGCAAGUCGAACGGACUCUUCGGAAUUAGUGUCGGCCGGGUGAGUAACCCGUGGGAAUCUUGCCUUGGGUUCGGGACAACCACUGGAAACGGUUGCUAAUACCGGAUGUGCCGAGAGGUAAAAGAGAAAUUGCCUGGAGAUGAGGUAGGGUCUGAGUAGCUAGUUGGUGAGGUAAAUACUCAACAAGGCAGCGAGUAGUAGCUGGUCUGAGCUGAUGACCAGCCACACCGGGACUGAGACACGGCCCAGACUACUCCGGCGGGCAGGAGUGGAGCAUGUUCGGGCAUGGGCGAGAGACUGACGGAGCAAUACCGCGUGAGGGAAGAAGGCACUUGGGUUGUAAACCUCUUUACUUAGGGAAGAACAACAUGACGGUACCUAAGGAAUAAGCAUCGGCUAACUCCGUG
rnacentral:rRNA from 1 species